AAGAAUUUAGUUAAAAUUAUAACAUAAGCUUGUCAUGUUUAAAUUAUUAAAAAUAUAAUAAUUCUUA
rnacentral:tRNA from 1 species